GUCGAGAAUAAUUCACAAUGGACGAAAGUCUGAUGGUGCAACGCCGCGUGGAGGAUGAAGGUCUUCGGAUUGUAAACUCCUGUCAUCGGGGAGUAAGACCUGGCGGUAAAUAGCCGACAGGGUUGAUAGUACCCGAAGAGGAAGGGACGGCUAACUUCGUGCCAGCAGCCGCGGUAAUACGAAGGUCCCAAGCGUUGUUCGGAAUCACUGGGCGUAAAGGGUGCGUAGGCGGCGUGGUAAGUCAGAUGUGAAAUCCCGGGGCUCAACCUCGGAACUGCAUCCGAUACUGCCAUGCUUGAGGGCUGGAGAGGUAACUGGAAUUCUCGGUGUAGCAGUGAAAUGCGUGGAUAUCGAGAGGAACACUCGUGGCGAAGGCGAGUUACUGGACAGCAUCUGACGCUGAGGCACGAAGGCCAGGGGAGCGAAAGGGAUUAGAAACCCUGGUAGUCC
rnacentral:rRNA from 1 species